AGAAUCAACGCUGGCGGCGUGCCUAACACAUGCAAGUCGAACGAGAAAGUGGAGCAAUCCACGAGUAAAGUGGCGCACGGGUGAGUAACACGUGACUAACCUACCCUUGAGUGGGGGAUAACCUAGGGAAACCUGGGCUAAUACCGCAUAAUACCUACGGGUCAAAGGAGCAAUUCGCUUAAGCGAGGGGUCGCGGCCGAUUAGUUAGUUGGCGGGGUAAUGGCCCACCAAGACGAUGAUCGGUAUCCGGCCUGAGAGGGCGCACGGACACACUGGAACUGAAACACGGUCCAGACUCCUACGGGAGGCAGCAGUGGGGAAUUUUGCGCAAUGGGGGAAACCCUGACGCAGCAACGCCGCGUGGAGGAUGAAGUCCCUAGGGAUGUAAACUCCUUUCGAUCGGGACGAUUAUGACGGUACCGGAAGAAGAACGCCCGGCUAACUUCGCGCCAGCAGCCGC
rnacentral:rRNA from 1 species